rnacentral:tRNA from 1 species
GCCUGGGGCUCAAAGAAUAGGGUGCCGGCCUCAUAUACCGGAGGUGGUGGGUUCAAACCCACCCCUGGCC